rnacentral:lncRNA from 1 species
UGCUCGGUUCUGUCUAGAAGCUCACUACUCAAACAUAUACUGUGGGGGAAAGUAACCGCCUGAUGGUUAGAAGGCUGGCCCUGUAUUUCCUCCUCUUCCUCAGUUUCCUCAUUCAUGAAAUCAGCAGACAUUUUGGAGAUUUACUUCAGCCCAGACUUUUUAAGACACUCAUAGUUAGGGGUUCCUGGUUUAAAUAGAUUGCGACAACUUAACAUGCAGCUUAACAGGAAACACAGAUGGCAGAAAAAUAAAAAGGUGCCUCUAUCAGUUAGAAAGAGAUUGGUUGGGCGCACUGGCUCACGCCUGUAAUCCCAGCACUUUGGGAGGCCAAGGCAGGUGGAUCACCUGAGGUCAGGAGUUGGAGACCAGCCUGGCCAACAUGGUGAAACCCCAUCUCUACUAAAAGUACAAAAAUUUGCCCGGUGUGGUGGUGGGCGCCUGUAAUUCCAGCUACUCAGGAGGCUGAGGCAGGAGAAUCACUUGAAUCCAGGAAGUGGAGGUUGCAGUGAGCCAAGAUCAUAGCACUGGACUCCAGCAUGGGCGACAAGUGAAGUUAAUUGGUUUUCAAAAAGUCACACAGUACAGACAUAGCAGAGGAAGAAUGAGAACCUACAGCAGAGUUGAGAAGGUUCAACAGAAUAACAGGUCAUGUUUGGGCACUUGUAUUCUGGAGCUGGCGCCUGGG